rnacentral:rRNA from 1 species
GACGAACGCUGGCGGCGUGCCUAAUACAUGCAAGUCGAACGCAGUGGGGACGGGUGAGUAACCCGUGGGUAACCUGACAUCAGAGGGGAUAACACUUGGAAACCGGUGCUACACAGAUACUGAUGGAUGGUCCCGCGGUGCAUUAGCUAGUUUGUGAGGUAACGGCUCACACAGGCCAAGAUGCAUAGGCGACCUGAGAGGGGGAUCGGCCAAACUGGGACGUGUACACGGCCCAGACUCAUACGGGAGGCAGCAGUAGGGAAUAUUGGGAAAUGGACGAAAGUCUGACCGAGCAAUGACGCGUGAGUGAAGAAGGUGUUCGGAUCGUAAAACUCUGUUGGUAGAGAAGCGGUAUCUAACCAGAAAGCAACGGCUAACUACGUGCCAGCAGCCGCGGUAAUAC